UCUAUUAGAACUCAUCAUUGUUCCAGUCAAUAGCAUUGAUGUGAUCAAUAUGAGUUUAUUUACAUAUAAUACAUUGAUGUUUUUCUGUGUAAUUAGUUCAGACAACAGUAUUUCUGUAUAUCUCUUGCACCAUUUAUAUUGAGUGACCCCACCCUUACUGCAUCCAUUAAUAAAAGAAGAAGAACAGAAAACAUCCCUUAAGAGAAAGGAAACAAACAAAUCAUAUUGUUUCAAACCCAUUUUCUAUUUGUAGUUCUCAUCUCAGUUUAGCAACAAACUAACAAACUGCAAAUUGAUCAGUUCCUUCACCCCUCAUUAAUGUUCCAACUAUAUCAAUAAACAAAUCCAUGACUUGUACUCUUUUCAUGUUCUUAGUCUUUUGCAAAAAGGUCCUGAUUUUUGUAAACGAAUAAUCACUCCUCUGUUGUUCACGGUUUCUAUUGUCAGUCACUUCACUUCAUCAGAAUCAUCUAUUGUACUCUGUUCACUCUCAUCACAUUUAUCAUUGCUGAUUCUAGCUCUUUCCAUGUUUAACUGUGGCCUUUCCUUUUAAUAGAAGGAGUUCCUCUUCAUUCUCUACUUCACUGCCUAUUCUUUCUCCUUCUAGAACAGUCUCUACAGCCUCAACCACAUUACUGGAAUUAGCACAUAUAUCUUCUCCUCCCCUCUCUUCUAUCUCUUCUAUCUCUGUAUCCUUCAGCUGUUCUUCACCAUUUCUCACAUUAUCUUGUAGCUGCUUCCCCACAGUUACACCACCACCAUCCACAACGGUCACAUCAUCAGUCCUCUCUAGACAGACACUUCUCACAUGCCCCUCCUGUCCACAUUCAAAACACCUCAUGAUGCAAAGACAAUAUAGUCAUAUCCAUCCAUCUUAAAUCAUCCAUCCACUGAAUUAUGUGAUCUGAUGAUAAAUGGCCUCUACCAGCGCUGUCUCUGUGUGUCAUCACAUAUUUUAUCAAAAUGUAUAAUCUGGACUUGUGCACAUGUAAGCAGCACUCUAAUGCGUCUGUUCAUACACGUGUGUGUUUUCCCAGGACUUGCUCUGACAUAUAUUCUGGAGAACAGCUUCAAAGCUGAAUCUGGAUCCAGACCUGAUGUUCCUAAGAUUGGGAUUCUGAUCACAGAUGGGAAAUCACAGGACGAUGUUGUUUCUCCUGCUCAGAGACUCAGAGACACUGGGAUCGAGCUGUUUGCUAUCGGAGUGAAGAACGCUGAUGAGAACGAGCUGAGAGCCAUCGCCUCCCCUCCGGAGGAAACACACGUGUAUAACGCGGCUGAUUUCAGCGUGAUGAGCUCCAUCGUGGAGGGACUGACCAGGAGCGUCUGCGAGCGUGUCUCUGAACUCAGCAGAGAGAUGAAUAUGCCAUCUACUGUGACAAAAAUGGAGAGGAAGAUGGAGAGGAAGAUGAAGAUGCCAUCAGACGUGCUCCUGUUUGCAGCGUUAUCAGGACGGCGUGUGUGGAGCGAUUGUCCUGAAAAACAAACAGCAUCUAAAUUUUAUCAUUUCAUACCUUUUGUAUUUUUUUUUAUAAUAAACAACAUUUUAACAUGUGAAAUUAUCGACAGACUCACCAGGAGUCGGGCUGAAUUCAUCUGGAGACAGACAGAGAUCUGAUGGACAGAGAAUACAGCUUAUCAUGCUAACAUCAUCUUCUAUAAAGACUUAUACUUCAUGUAUUCAUCAAGGAUGCAUUAAAUUAAUCAAAAGUGACAGCAAAGACAUAUAUAAUGUUACAAAAGAUAUACAUCUCGGAUAAAUGCUGUCGUUUUGAAAUUUCUAUUCAUCUGUGAAUACUGAAAAAGUUAUAGCUUCAAAUGAAUCAACAGAUUAGACUGAUUUCUGAAGAUCAUGUGACACUGAAGACUGGAGGAAUGAUGAGUUUUACAUUAGAAUAAUAUUCCACUGUUUUUACUGUAUUUUCAAUCAAAUAAUGCAAGCUUAGUGAGCAGAGAAGCUUCUUUCAAGAUAUUUUUAACAUCUCCAAAGUUAAGUAUUUAAUACUAACAUCUGGGGAAAAUUACACUGAACAGAUUUGAUUUUCAUAGAGUGAAUUAUUUUUGCACUCACCCUUACAAAUAAUUUCCUCAGAGUGCUGCAGAGAGACACAGGUGAGAAGACGUGAGAAACACUUGCUAAAACAACACUGCGCUUCAUCGCAGUCUCUAUCGUGCAUCACUUAUGUAACAGAAUUCCUCACCUUCAGUGAAGCAAAAUCCAUCUGGAAAAUGACAUGAGUGUGUUUUCCUCUCAGAAUGAGGGACUGGGGUCCUUUAUAAUGAACUCUGGACUCAUCCACGCCUCCAGUUUCAUCAACCACCACUAUAUCCUAAAGAUCAGAAAGACUUCAUAUACAGCUUGAGGGAUGGUCAGACUCACGUCAGCGCUCCAGUGCUGGUGACUGGUCGGGUCUGGACGCUCACUCAGCUCAUAGGAGGAAGAGUCGUUGGUAAAAUCUCUUCUGCAGCACGAGAGAGCGUCUUGUCCAGAUGGCAUUGCCAGCAGAUCUACAGGAACAAGAUCACAAGCAUGAACACCUCCACCUGUAAUUGAGGAAACCCCUACUUGAAAGAUAAUCCAUACAAACCAACUUGAGAGGACGUUGCGUCCUUAUGUUCACAAAGGGAACACUUCAUUCAGCGCUUACAUUCCUCCAUAUACAUCUCUUACAGCAUCAUGAAGACUUUCGAGUGCUGACUUUCUGAACCUUUUGGGAAGGACAAGCUGAAACACACUGAUGUGUGUUUAACCACUGAAUAUGGUCCUCCUCAUCCUGGGAAGCUAGCUCAGUUUGAUGUUGAUCAUCAGGAUGCAGACACCUUGAGAGACCAUCCGCAUCAUGAUUCUUCUUCCCAGCCCUGUAUCAGAAUCUGAAUCAGAAUGAGCUUUAUUGCCAAGUAUGUUUACACAG